rnacentral:rRNA from 1 species
GUAGGGCGCAAGCGUUAUCCGGAAUUAUUGGGCGUAAAGAGCUCGUAGGCGGUUUGUCGCGUCUGCUGUGAAAUCCCGAGGCUCAACUUCGGGUCUGCAGUGGGUACGGGCAGACUAGAGUGCGGUAGGGGAGAUUGGAAUUCCUGGUGUAGCGGUGGAAUGCGCAGAUAUCAGGAGGAACACCGAUGGCGAAGGCAGAUCUCUGGGCCGUAACUGACGCUGAGGAGCGAAAGGGUGGGGAGCAAACAGGCUUAGAUACCCUGGUAGUCCACCCCGUAAACGUUGGGAACUAGUUGUGGGGUCCAUUCCACGGAUUCCGUGACGCAGCUAACGCAUUAAGUUCCCCGCCUGGGGAGUACGGCCGCAAAGCUA